rnacentral:rRNA from 1 species
UACGUAGGGUGCGAGCGUUGUCCGGAAUUAUUGGGCGUAAAGGGCUCGUAGGCGGUUUGUCACGUCAGGAGUGAAAACUCGGGGCUCAACCCCGAGCCUGCUUCUGAUACGGGCAGACUGGAGGUAUGCAGGGGAGAACGGAAUUCCUGGUGUAGCGGUGAAAUGCGCAGAUAUCAGGAGGAACACCGGUGGCGAAGGCGGGUCUCUGGGCCGAUACUGACGCUGAGGAGCGAAAGCGUGGGGAGCGAACAGG